CAUGGAGGAAUGUCAGGGGAGUCCACGGGGGACUCUUGCGGGGUCAUGAGGCACUAUUUUGGGAUAGUUUUCUCAAUUUAAACACGGACUGGAGAUGGCUCGGACCCUUCUAGUGACCCUGGAGGAUAUGAUCGAGAGAUGACAUACUGUCUUGCGGGGUCAUGAUGCACUAUAUUGGGACACAAUUUUCUCAUUUUGACCCCUUUUCCUGGUUCUCACAAAAGUUGACUCUGAUUAUUUUGCCCAUGGAGGAAUGCCAGUGGAGUCGACAGGGGACUCCUGCGGGGUUCUUCAGAGCACUACUAAGCAAAGCUAUGCAUGAGAGGUGCCUGCGAUGCCCCGCGGUACUCCACACUGGCGCCGGGUUACGAGCCAGUAUGGAACUCAUUUGCUGGGCAAUACUGACUUCAGUUGAAGUUGAAGAUGAAGACCGAAUGCCCGCUGUGUCACAUGCAGUACCGCACUCUCCCCAGACACUUGGUGGUCCGGCACCAUGUUCACAACCCACAGGAACGCAACAUUCUACUACGCAUGGCACACGGGAGAAUCAACAUUCGCACCGUGCCCUGUACUGUGGUUGGUUGUGGAUACCAUAGCACCAGUCUGGACCGGCAUAUAAACUGUGACCACCCGGAGCUCAGCCAACCAGAAGCAGACUUGUUGAUGAAGUCAGUAAAACACAGCACGGGGCUUAAACUGCUGAGGGAGCUUCGGGAGGUUGACCCCCCAACACAAAUGAUAACGACACUGGAUGUCGACUAUGGUGCAAAUGAGGAACACCCAGACUGCUUUCCAGGGGAAGUUGACCUCGAAGUCGAUGAACACAGACAGCUAAGGCUGGCUAACGUGGCACUGGUGGCUCAAAAUGACUCCCUCGAGAAAGAGGUGCAUACUCUAAGACGUAAGAUGAAGCAGUGGAAGGCUGAAAGUGUCAAGAGGGACCUCCGUAAGUCCUUGGAGAGUCCACCAGCUGAAAUAAUUCCACUCCAGCAGCCAGAAACGUCAGCUUCCUCUGGAAAAAGAGCCUCAGUCAACACAGGCAGACGCACCCCCACCCCCUUGGUUGAAUCAAGCGAGCGUCAAUCCAGAGACGCUGGUGAUGAAGACUCUCGGGGUGAAAGAUUACGGAGACCAAUGUCAGCCCCCCCCAGUGUAAACAUACUAGAGUCGUCUGAAGCGUCUCGGCGGAGAGACACCGAGCCGAGUUCCUCGGGGGUGAAGUGCACAAAGAAGAGGAAGCACACAUCACAGGAGCAUGGUGUCGUCUCUAAGACGGCCCGUGAUGAGGGUCAAGGUCGUGUGGGAACCAGACGAAUAUCAGCGACACCACGUCCAACAAGCAGAAGUUCUCCAGUCGCCACAUGCAGAUAUACCCCUGGAUUGCUCGAAGCUAUGAAGGACACCGCUGUGAACGCCACGGGGGCCAAAAUGGCAAAAAAUGAUGGGCGGAAGGGGGACCGGGAGGAAUCGGAGCACCGGGAUGAUAGGGCCAUGGCUGAAAUUGAUGUGCCGGAGAUGGCGGAAGAAGUCACAGAGUUCCUCAUGGGGCAUACGCUGAGUGGCCAACACAGCGAUGGGGGAACUAUCCAAAGCACACAGGACAGUGCAGCACUUCCAGUGACACAGCCCAAGGUCAUCAACAACCGCCUACAUAGUAGGUUCUCUAAACCUGCAUCCGAUCCUAGUGGGCAAUCUUCCUCCACCAGCAGGAAAUGUGUCACCUCCUCCCCUACCCCUGAAAUGCCUGUGAGCAGCAUAGCUCGGCGCACUAGACGUCGACUGGCCCCCGUGGCUGGGAGACCAUCACCCACACUUCCAAGGCCCUCUGGUAGUAAAGUCAGCAACAAGAAGCGGCACAUAACCCUUCCACCCAGCAUGGAGGCGGCAAUAGCAGAGUACCGGGACUACAGCACUGGGGUCGAGCCAGAAUCACGACUGACAGGCAACACACAGUCAAAGGUAAGCCGCAUCAAACAGUUUCUCUCUUUUAUGGGGGGAGACUCUCCACGUAUGUCAGACUGGUUAUUCCUUAGAGACAACGCACGUAUCCGUGCCUGGGUACACAGCCUCAAAGUAACUGAAAACUUUGCAGUCACAACUGUUGCCCUUUAUAUAAAAAAUAUAAUGCAGUUCAUUAGAUACCUGACUGACUCAAAAGUAAACGGGUGCAGGCUCAGUCGGUCUGACUUGGCUACAUUAUUGCGGGAGUUGAAAGCAUGCCUUGUGCGCCUGAAUCAGGCGGUGACAGUCCACCAGUUCCAGGUAAAGAGGAUUAAGAUGGAAAGCCUGCCCAGCUAAGCUAAUCUUCAAACGUGCAUUGCUGCCUCUGUCAAGCGCAUCCCAGAGCUCUUGGAUAAAAUGGAGCUUUCCCCAUCUGCAAACGACCGGUACCUGUUAUAUGGCUAUUUCUCACUCCAUUGGUCCCUGCUCUAUGGUCACCGUACUGGUGUCUAUGCAAACAUGACUAAUGCAGAGGUGAAUGCGGCGGGAAGAAAAGGCAACCGCCACGGAUACCUCAUCCAUGUCCAGAACCACAAGACCGCCAAAACCUAUGGAGAGGCGCAGGUGCACUGUACUGUGGAUGAAUUUGGCUGGGUCCAGCGAUGGAUGGAAAUAAAGAAGACGUUUCUUGGGCAUCAGAAUCGCUACUUCCUCUACACAGCGGGAGAGGGCCCCUGUAAGAGCCUCCAUCUGUAUCUCAACCAAGCAUGGAAAGAUGUUGGGCUUCCUGGGCCAAUCUCCCAUUCUCUGCUCCGCACUGCCCUGGCAGACACUGUGAAGAGGCACCAAGAUCCAGUGAAUCGGGCGAAGCUGUCCCAGUUUAUGUGCCACGACUUGCAUAUGGCUAACCGGUUCUCCGGGGGUUA